rfam:Microgenomates (Daviesbacteria) bacterium GW2011_GWA2_38_24 TS86_C0012, whole genome shotgun sequence.
GCCGCAGUAGCCAAGUUGGUCAAGGCGGAUGCCUGAAGAGCAUUUUAUGCGGGUUCGAUUCCUACCUGCGGCA